rnacentral:tRNA from 2 species
CAGGGUGUAGCUAAGCAGGACAGCAUUUCCUUUACACUGAAAAGUCAUUCGUGCAAAUCGAAUUACCCUGA